rnacentral:rRNA from 1 species
UACAGAGGGUGCAAGCGUUGUUCGGAAUUAUUGGGCGUAAAGCGCGUGUAGGCGGCUUUGCAAGUCGGGUGUGAAAGCCCUCAGCUCAACUGAGGAAGUGCGCCCGAAACUGCGAGGCUUGAGUACCGGAGAGGAUGGCGGAAUUCCCCAAGUAGAGGUGAAAUUCGUAGAUAUGGGGAGGAACACCGGUGGCGAAGGCGGCCAUCUGGACGGAUACUGACGCUGAGACGCGAAAGCGUGGGGAGCAAACAGG